ACAAAGUGCCAGUCCUCCAACCGCGGGUAAGUCAAGGGCUAAGCCUACUCCGGGCCCAUGCUUCAAAUGCAGCAAGGAAGGACACUGAGCCAAGUCCUACUCAAACCCGAGACCCCCACCUGGGCCCUGCCCAAGGUGCGGAAGGGAAGGCCACUAGAAAUCAGACUGUAGUCUGGCUCCUCCGGGUCUGGCCUCAGCCAGUCCAGCAUGGCCACCCUCUAGAACCGGUUUGGAGCUCCAAGACCUCCUGGGACUGGCCACUGAAGAAGCUGCCCAGGCCCUGACAGGGCCCCAUAGACUUACAUCACCAGGACAGAGCCUCGGGGAAUGACUGUGGUGGCAGUUUCUUGCAGAACAGAAUGCAGGCGUUCGCCAACCAGAAGGUGGGAGAGAUCUAUCUGGCAUUGAAUUCAGAACCUAACACCAGAAUCCUUAAGACCCCGGGUAGAUGCCCCUAACGAUGCCCCUUCUCAGCUGGAAGCAGUUAUGGAAGAUGGACCUUCACCCCCUGACCUUGCCCGGACUCUCAAUUUUUUUAAAAAAUAUCAAAAGCCUGGAAUGAUAGAUCCUCCCUUCCCCCAACUGAUGGACGGAGUAUGACAUAAACUCCACCUGCAGCCCGAACAUUCCUGAACACCUUAUAUGGACUGUACAUUGAACCACCAAUCAGCACCUGCCAAAUACCCUAAACCCCUGAUUCCUAAGUCCCUAGGUGCCUAAUCAAGUGCCUUGUCCCAGUAAAGAGGGUGGGGGCAGAAUGCCCUAAGCCCCAUCUUCUCCUUUCCUCCCCUCAAAAGGCACUUUCACCCCGGCACGCCCUCUUUUCUCCUCUGGAAGGGAGGGGGCAGGGUCUUCUCCUCCAAUAAAGCCUGUGUCCCAGU